rnacentral:tRNA from 1 species
UCUCUAGUAGCUCAGUUGGCUAGAGCGUAUGGCUGUUAACCAUAAUGUCGUUGGUUCGAAUCCAACCUAGAGAG